rnacentral:rRNA from 1 species
GUACCAAUAAAGAAUUUUAGUUCAACUUUAAGACUACCAUAAGAUAUUUUAAUCAAAAUGUAAUCUUAAAACUUAACCUAAAGAGGGACAGCUCUUUAGGUAUGGAAACAACCUUAUAUAGUGAAUAAAUCUUCAAAUACCAAGAUCAUAGUUGGCCUAAAAGCAGCCACCAAUAAAGAAAGCGUUAAAGCUCAACACUAUAUUACAUAAAAUUCCACAAACAGCAAUGACUUCCUAUAAAUCCUAACUGGGUUAAUCUAUACACGUAUAGAUGAAAUUAUGUUAACAUGAGUAACAAGAACACUGUUCUCCAAGCACAAGCCUAUAACAACCCGGAUAACCAUUGUUAAUUAACACCCAAAGGCGAAAAAUUACUAAUAAAAUUCACCUAACAUAAAAUGUUAAUCCAACACAGGCGUGCAACAAGGAAAGAUUAAAAGAAGUAAAAGGAACUCGGCAAACAAGAAUCCCGCCUGUUUACCAAAAACAUCACCUCUAGCAUAAAAAGUAUUAGAGGCACCGCCUGCCCAGUGACAUAAGUUAAACGGCCGCGGUAUCCUGACCGUGCAAAGGUAGCAUAAUCACUUGUUCCUUAAUUGGGGACUGGAAUGAAUGGCUUCACGAGGAUUCAACUGUCUCUUACUUCCAAUCAGUGAAAUUGACCUUCCCGUGAAGAGGCGGGAAUGCUACAAUAAGACGAGAAGACCCUAUGGAGCUUUAAUUUACUAACUUAACCCUCAAUAACCCACAACCCUAAUGGAUUAAAAAACAAGCAAUAAGUUAGUAAUUUCGGUUGGGGUGAUCUCGGAGAAUAAAUCAACCUCCGAAAGAUUUUAACCAAGACACACAAGUCAAAGUAACAACAAUCUAAUUGACCCAAUUCAUUUGAUCAACGGACCAAGUUACCCUAGGGAUAACAGCGCAAUCCUAUUCAAGAGUCCAUAUCGACAAUUAGGGUUUACGACCUCGAUGUUGGAUCAGGACAUCCUAAUGGUGCAGCAGCUAUUAAUGGUUCGUUUGUUCAACGAUUAAAGUCCUACGUGAUCUGAG